AUUGAACGCUGGCGGCAGGCCUAACACAUGCAAGUCGAACGGAGUGGCGGACGGGUGAGUAAUGUGUGGGAAACCGCCUGAUGGAGGGGGAUAACCUGCGGAAACGGGCUCUUAUACCGUCUACUAUCAUAUGAGCCUAUGUCGGAUUAGCUAGUUGGUGGGGUAAAGGCCUACAAAGGCGACGAUCCGUAACUGGUCUGAGAGGAUGAUCAGUAACAUUGGGACUGAGAAACGGUCCAGACCCCUACGGGAGGCAGCAGUGGGGAAUAUUGGAAAAUGGGCGAAAGCCUGAUGCAGCCAUGCCGCGUGUGUGAAGAAGGUCUUCGGAUUGUAAAGCACUUUAAGUGGGGAGGCGUUACCGACAGAAUAAGCACCGGCUAACUACGUGCCAGCAGCCGCGGUAAUUC
rnacentral:rRNA from 1 species